AGGCAAGAACAUCUGGCAUGGCUGAUUUCUGCCUGACCUCUGCAGGCCAAUGCUUCAAUAGCUGACAGCUUCCUUGAGGAGAAAAAAUGGACUAACUUCUGUACUCUCCUUGUUUUGUACCUUUUGCUAAUGAGUGUCAACAAUAAUUAUGACAGCAGCAAUAAAACAAUUUAUUAUCAAGUUCA